rnacentral:sRNA from 2 species
UUAAUGGGUCACUAGGGUUCCGAUCCGGCGAUGCCGGGUGACUGGUCCGAGAGUGGCCGACCUUCCUGAAGGUUACACGGCGGGACAAAAGCCCGGGAGAG